UGGGGAAUUUUGGACAAUGGGCGCAAGCCUGAUCCAGCCAUUCCGCGUGCAGGACGAAGGCCUUCGGGUUGUAAACUGCUUUUGUACGGAACGAAAAGGCUCUGGCUCAUACCUGGGGCUCAUGACGGUACCGUAAGAAUAAGCACCGGCUAACUACGUGCCAGCAGCCGCGGUAAUACGUAGGGUGCAAGCGUUAAUCGGAAUUACUGGGCGUAAAGCGUGCGCAGGCGGUUAUGUAAGACAGAGGUGAAAUCCCCGGGCUCAACCGGGGAACUGCCGUUGGGACUGCAUAGCUGGAGUACGGCAGAGGGGGAUGGAAUUCCGCGUGUAGCAGUGAAAUGCGUAGAGAUGCGGAGGAACACCGAUGGCGAAGGCAAUCCCCUGGGCCUGGACUGACGCUCAUGCACGAAAGCGUGAGGAGCAAACA
rnacentral:rRNA from 1 species